AUUGAACGCUGGCGGCAGGCCUAACACAUGCAAGUCGAGCGAGCGGCGGACGGGUGAGUAAUGUCUGGGAAACUGCCUGAUGGAGGGGGAUAACUACGGGAAAAGGUAGCUAAUACCGCACAUCAUCAGAUGUGCCCAGAUGGGAUUAGCUAGUAGGUGGGGUAACGGCUCACCUCGGCGACGAUCCCUAGCUGGUCUGAGAGGAUGACCAGCCACACUGGAACUGAGACACGGUCCAGACUCCUACGGGAGGCAGCAGUGGGGAAUAUUGCACAAUGGGCGCAAGCCUGAUGCAGCCAUGCCGCGUGUAUGAAGAAGGCCUUCGGGUUGUAAAGUACUUUCAGCGGGGAGGCGUUACCCGCAGAAGAAGCACCGGCUAACUCCGUGCCAGCAGCCGCGGUAAUAC
rnacentral:rRNA from 1 species